rnacentral:rRNA from 1 species
GACGAACGCUGGCGGCGUGCCUAAUACAUGCAAGUAGAACGCUGAAGAGAGGAGCUUGCUCUUCUUGGAUGAGUUGCGAACGGGUGAGUAACGCGUAGGUAACCUGCCUUGUAGCGGGGGAUAACUAUUGGAAACGAUAGCUAAUACCGCAUAACAAUGGAUGACACAUGUCAUUUAUUUGAAAGGGGCAAUUGCUCCACUACAAGAUGGACCUGCGUUGUAUUAGCUAGUAGGUGAGGUAAUGGCUCACCUAGGCGACGAUACAUAGCCGACCUGAGAGGGUGAUCGGUCACACUGGGACUGAGACACGGCCCAGACUCCUACGGGAGGCAGCAGUAGGGAAUCUUCGGCAAUGGGGGCAACCCUGACCGAGCAACGCCGCGUGAGUGAAGAAGGUUUUCGGAUCGUAAAGCUCUGUUGUAAGUCAAGAACGGGUGUGAGAGUGGAAAGUUCACACUGUGACGGUAGCUUACCAGAAAGGGACGGCUAACUACGUG